rnacentral:rRNA from 1 species
CAGCCGCCGCGGUAAUACGAAGGGUGCAAGCGUUAAUCGGAAUUACUGGGCGUAAAGCGUGCGUAGGCGGUUUGUUAAGUCUGUUGUGAAAUCCCCGGGCUCAACCUGGGAAUGGCAAUGGAUACUGGCAAGCUAGAGUGUGUCAGAGGAUGGUGGAAUUCCCGGUGUAGCGGUGAAAUGCGUAGAGAUCGGGAGGAACAUCAGUGGCGAAGGCGGCCAUCUGGGACAACACUGACGCUGAGGCACGAAAGCGUGGGGAGCAAACAGGAUUAGAUACCCGCGUAGUCCCUGUCUCUUAUAC